CCGCUCUGCUGUUCCGACCUGCAAAAUAAAGUUCAGAAACGGUUCAAACACCCAAACAGUUACGGUUAAUAUAGUUCCGUUCUGUUCCUUUUUAAACCUCUGAAAUCUUUUUUUUUUUUUUUUUUACAUUUAGCUCGACAUGAAAUCACUUCACCAAUCAGUGCAGAUAUAGCAGCUUGCUACGGAGCAGGUCAGAUAUAGCAGGUUGCUAUGGAGCAGGUCAGAUAUAGCAGGUUGCUAUGGAGCAGGUCAGAUAUAGCAGCUUGCUACGGAGCAGGUCAGAUAUAGCAGGUUGCUAUGGAGCAGGUCAGAUAUAGCAGGUUGCUAUGGAGCCGGUCAGAUUUAGCAGGUCAGAUAUAGCAGCUUGCUAUGGAGCAGGUCAGAUAUAGCAGCUUGCUAUGGAGCAGGUCAGAUUUAGCAGGUCAGAUAUAGCAGCUUUCUACGGAGCAGGUCAGAUAUAGCAGCUUGCUGUGGAGCAGGUUGUAAAGACCAGCGUUGGAGAUGAGAAGCAGGUACGGGGAGUCAACAUUUAAUCGGGAACAGACAGGUGACAAGACAGGCACAGUGUCGGCACACGGGUAAACAAGGACAUAUAACAAUCAACGGUGAAGCGGGGAACAGAACUGGGGAACAGACAGAUAUAGGGGAGGUAAUGACACAGGUGAUUGAGUCCAAUAAUCGCUGAUGCGCGUGAUGGGUGAAGGCAGGUGUGUGUAAUGAUGGUGGCAGGAGUGCGUAAAGCUGGGGAGCCUGGUGUGACAGUACACCCCCCCCCCC
ensembl:lncRNA